rnacentral:rRNA from 1 species
GGUCAAGCUACAAAGGGCUCACGGUGGAUACCUUGGCACACAGAGGCGAUGAAGGACGUGGUUACCUGCGAUAAGUCUCGGGGAGCUGGAAACACGCUUUGAUCCGGGAAUUUCCGAAUGGGGCAACCCCUAGAACGGCCGCCUGAAUCCAUAGGGCGGUGCGAGCCAACCCAGCGAACUGAAACAUCUUAGUAGCUGGAGGAAAGGAAAGUAAAAACGACUCCCUCAGUAGCGGCGAGCGAACGGGGAAGAGCCUAAACCGAUGGUUUCGACCAUCGGGGUUGUGGGACAGCAACGUGGACCAACGAACCUAGAAGAAGCGUUUGAAUGGCGCGCCACAGAGGGUGAAAGCCCCGUAUUCGAAAGGAGAGUUGGCCUAGCUGUAUCCCGAGUAGCACGGAGCACGUGAAAUUCCGUGUGAAUCCGCGAGGACCACCUCGUAAGGCUAAGUACUCCUGUGUGACCGAUAGCGCAACAGUACCGCGAGGGAAAGGUGAAAAGAACCCCGGGAGGGGAGUGAAACAGAACAUGAAACCGUGAGCUUACAAGCAAUGGGAGUCCGACUAAUCGGAUGACCGUGUGCCUGUUGAAGAAUGAGCCGGCGACUUAUAGGCACUGGCAGGUUAAACCGGGAAUGGUGGAGCCAUAGCGAAAGCGAGUCUGAAUAGGGCGAUCGUCAGUGUUUAUAGACCCGAACCCGGGUGAUCUAACCAUGGCCAGGAUGAAGCUUGGGUGAUACCAAGUGGAGGUCCGAACCGACUGAUGUUGAAAAAUCAGCGGAUGAGCUGUGGUUAGGGGUAAAAUGCCAAACGG